rnacentral:rRNA from 1 species
ACGAACGCUGGCGGCGUGCUUAACACAUGCAAGUCGAACGGAAAGGCCCCUUUGGGGGUACUCGAGUGGCGAACGGGUGAGUAACACGUGAGUAACCUGCCCUUGACUUCGGGAUAACUUCAGGAAACUGGGGCUAAUACCGGAUAGGAAUCCUUGCUGCAUGGUGGGGGUUGGAAAGCUUCGGCGGUUUUGGAUGGACUCGCGGCGUAUCAGCUUGUUGGUGGGGUAGUGGCUUACCAAGGCUUUGACGGGUAGCCGGCCUGAGAGGGCGACCGGCCACAUUGGGACUGAGAUACGGCCCAGACUCCUACGGGAGGCAGCAGUGGGGAAUAUUGCACAAUGGGCGGAAGCCUGAUGCAGCAACGCCGCGUGCGGGAUGACGGCCUUCGGGUUGUAAACCGCUUUCAGCAGGGGCGAAGCUUGUGGUGACGGUACCUGCAGAAGAAGCACCGGCUAACUACGUG